UCGGUCAUCCCAAGGUCGUUCGGGGUAAAUGAGGUCAAGUUUCUUCAAACUCUCCGGGUUCGGAGCAUGGGCUAUUAGCUCAGGUGGUUAGAGCGCACCCCUGAUAAGGGUGAGGUCCCUGGUUCAAGUCCAGGAUGGCCCACCUGAACCCCAAAACCAAAAUCGGGAAACGGGGGUAUAGCUCAGUUGGUAGAGCGCCUGCUUUGCAAGCAGGAUGUCAGCGGUUCGAGUCCGCUUACCUCCAGAGCGAAAACUUUGUCACUCUUAUUAUUAAUUGGCAGCCAAAGUUUCAGCACCUGCUGAGAUCAGCAGUCUGCUGGAGAAUGUCUCCAGAAUUAGAACCUUGAAAACUGCAUAGUCAUAAGUCAGGCAGAAAGUAAUAGGCAGAAAUGUCUAGAACUUUCACAGACAACAAUUAAGUCAAGUGGAAAACCGCAAAGCGAAAAAGCAGUUCUAGUGGUCAAGCUAGAAAGGGCUUACGGUGGAUACCUA
rnacentral:tRNA from 1 species